CCUACGGGAGGCAGCAGUGAGGAAUAUUGGUCAAUGGGCGCAAGCCUGAACCAGCCAAGUAGCGUGAAGGAUGACUGUCCUACGGGUUGUAAACUUCUUUUGUCAAGGGAUAAAGUGAGGCACGUGUGCCUGUUUGUGGGUACUUUAUGAAUAAGGAUCGGCUAACUCCGUGCCAGCAGCCGCGGUAAUACGGAGGAUCCGAGCGUUAUCCGGAUUUAUUGGGUUUAAAGGGUGCGUAGAUGGGUUGUUAAGUCAGGCGUGAAAGUUUGCGGCUCAACCGUAAGCUAGCAAUUGAUACUGGCAGUCUUGAGAAGAGUUGAGGUAGGCGGAAUGCGUGGUGUAGCGGUGAAAUGCUUAGAUAUCACGAAGAACUCCGAUUGCGAAGGCAGCAUACCA
rnacentral:rRNA from 1 species